AUGUCUCCAAAUAAGUGUGUUUUUGGAUGUGAGGGCAAGUUUACCGUGUUCAGCUUCCCAAAGAACCCAGCAUUACAUGAACAGUGGAUGCAGUUUGUUUUUCCGGGGCAGCAACGGAGUGUAGCAAGUGCGUUUGUGUGUUCUCGUCAUUUCAGUGAUGAAUGUUUUAUAAACAAGGCCCAGGUCGACGCUGGAUUUGCACAUGGUUUGCUAUUAAAACAUGGAGCGUUCCCAGUGAUAAAGACCCCAUUCAUAUUCAUCCAUCACGAGCAUAAGCAGUAUUCAGCACAUUACAUUGCUGAGCUCAGAACAGGCCGCAUGGCACCUGUGACCAAGUAUAGCCAGGUGUGUGUGUGUAUCUGCCCCAAUUCCACAUAAAAUAGGUCAGUACUAACCAGCAUCUGCUGAAAUCUACAUGUCCUCUGCAUGCUAAUUAUAAAAUGAAAAUUACAUCUCUAUAUAAGUCCCCACAGGCACUUCCAUUGACAUGCAAUCAUCUCCUCUCCUGUCAUCUUUCUAGAUCAACAAGUAGUGUGCAGGAUCUCUCCAUUCACGGGACGUGUGCAUAGUUAUCGGACAGGAUGAAGUGAAGAGGGUCGCAUUUGAAAGGAAAGGUUGGCGUGUCUAUUUGCGUGGGCUGUGAAAUGAGGCUGGAAGCUUUCUCCAGCUCUCUUUUUGCUCUGUCUCUGAUAUAGACACACACACAGAGAAGGGUUAAAACAGAGAGCUGGCGCCCAUCUGUAUGAGAGGAUGAGAGCUUUAUCCUCACCAGCACUGACGCACAAGGGCAACUGAAUCAUUUAAAUGCAUGGCGGUGCACUUGGAGAAACACAUUCGGUUGACAAUCCAGUAGGAAAGAUGUAUCACAAAUCUGAUCUCUAAUGUCUCAGUUGUUUCUCCUUAAAAAAGAAAAUGAGAAUUCUCUUGCUACCCAGAUUGAUCUCUGGAGAAAGAGAUCUCAGGAAUCAAACAUGUGUCCUGCAAAGCUUCAGAAGAGAUCAGUGAGAAUAAUGCCUCUCUGUGCUCAUAUUGGCCAAGGUCUGCAAUCUUUACUGACAAUAUUGUCUCGUUUGUUGCUAUUGUCCUUCCUUAUAAUUUUAGGACAAGAAACAUCCAAUAUAAAGCUGAUACUGUGAAGCAGAACUCUAUAGUGUCCUG
ensembl:lncRNA